GGCGCCGCUGCUGCCCCGCCGCCUUCGCCUCAGGAUGUGGAGCCGGGGCGGUGCGGCUGACUCCUCCUCAGCGGCGCCGGGGACGAGGCGUUUGGUGGCGACCGGAGGCGCUGGCUGAAUGAAGAACUCCUGGCCUUGCAGAUUCCCGGACCACCCGGCUUCCCGUCGCCCUUCCCGUGUCCCAGCUGGGCUGCAGUUUUCAAAAACGGAAGAUCGAAUUGAAGAGCUUCUUCAUCCAGAUUCCUCUGAGUCUUAUGUGCCCCUCAACAUCCUUCUUCCUGCUACUCACAGCUCCUUCUCCUCCAAAGUGGGAUGUGAGCUACAGCUGCGCUUUCUUAAAAAAUAAAUAAUAAUAAUUAAAAAAGAAUAAAAA